rnacentral:rRNA from 1 species
ACGAACGCUGGCGGCGUGCUUAACACAUGCAAGUCGCACGGAAAGGCCCUGCUUUUGUGGGGUGCUCGCGUGGCGAACGGGUGAGUAACACGUGAGUAACCUGCCCUUGACUUUGGGAUAACUUCAGGAAACUGGGGCUAAUACCGGAUAGGAGCUCCUGCUGCAUGGUGGGGGUUGGAAAGUUUCGGCGGUUGGGGAUGGACUCGCGGCUUAUCAGCUUGUUGGUGGGGUAGUGGCUUACCAAGGCUUUGACGGGUAGCCGGCCUGAGAGGGUGACCGGCCACAUUGGGACUGAGAUACGGCCCAGACUCCUACGGGAGGCAGCAGUGGGGAAUAUUGCACAAUGGGCGGAAGCCUGAUGCAGCAACGCCGCGUGCGGGAUGACGGCCUUCGGGUUGUAAACCGCUUUCGCCUGUGACGAAGCGUGAGUGACGGUAAUGGGUAAAGAAGCACCGGCUAACUACGU